rnacentral:rRNA from 1 species
CAACGCGACCCCAGGUCAGGCGGG